rnacentral:rRNA from 1 species
GAUGAACGCUGGCGGCGUGCCUAAUACAUGCAAGUCGAGCGAACGGACGAGAAGCUUGCUUCUCUGAUGUUAGCGGCGGACGGGUGAGUAACACGUGGAUAACCUACCUAUAAGACUGGGAUAAUUUCGGGAAACCGGAGCUAAUGCCGGAUGAUAUUUUGAACCGCAUGGUUCAAAAGUGAAAGACGGUCUUGCUGUCACUUAUAGAUGGAUCCGCGCUGCAUUAGCUAGUUGGUAAGGUAACGGCUUACCAAGGCAACGAUGCAUAGCCGACCUGAGAGGGUGAUCGGCCACACUGGAACUGAGACACGGUCCAGACUCCUACGGGAGGCAGCAGUAGGGAAUCUUCCGCAAUGGGCGAAAGCCUGACGGAGCAACGCCGCGUGAGUGAUGAAGGUCUUCGGAUCGUAAAACUCUGUUAUUAGGGAAGAACAUAUGUGUAAGUAACUGUGCACAUCUUGACGGUACCUAAUCAGAAAGCCACGGCUAACUACGUG